CUGCUGCCUUCCGUAGGAGUCUGGUCCGUGUCUCAGUACCAGUGUGGGGGACCUUCCUCUCAGAACCCCUACGCAUCGUCGCCUCGGUGGGCCGUUACCCCGCCGACUAGCUAAUGCGCCGCAUGGCCAUCCGCAGCCGAUGAAUCUUUAACCGCCGAGGGAUGCCCCUCUGCGGUGUUACGCGGUAUUAGACGGAAUUUCUUCCGCUUAUCCCCCUGCUGCGGGCAGGUUCCAUACGUGUUACUCACCCGUGCGCCGGUCGCCGG
rnacentral:rRNA from 1 species